CCUACGGGAGGCAGCAGUGGGGAAUAUUGCACAAUGGGGGAAACCCUGAUGUAGCGACGCCGCGUGAGUGAAGAAGUAUUUCGGUACGUAAAGCUCUAUCAGCAGGGAAGAAAAUGACGGUACCUGACUAAGAAGCCCCGGCUAACUACGUGCCAGCAGCCGCGGUAAUACGUAGGGGGCAAGCGUUAUCCGGAUUUACUGGGUGUAAAGGGAGCGUAGGCGGCAGCGCAAGUCUGGAGUGAAAUCCCAUGGCUUAACCAUGGAACUGCUUUGGAAACUGUGCAGCUAGAGUGCAGGAGAGGUAAGCGGAAUUCCUAGUGUAGCGGUGAAAUGCGUAGAUAUUAGGAGGAACACCAGUGGCGAAGGCGGCUUACUGGACUGUAACUGACGUUGAGGCUCGAAAGCGUGGGGAGCAAACAGGAUUAGAUACCCCGGUAGUC
rnacentral:rRNA from 1 species